UGCGUGGUUCAAUUCUCCGGAACUUUUGAUCUCUUAUACCAUUUCUCUCUGAACGAGAGGAAAUUUGAUCGUAGCUUCCUACUCAAAGCCACCGUGCCGGAAAGUUUCCCUACAGUUGUGACUCGUUAAUCUUCAAGCGUGAGUUAUCCUUCUUCUUCUUCUUUGAAUCCUUCGGUUUUGAUUAAAUAUAUGAAAACCCCAAUUUCUAUUUUGAAAACCCUAACUUUCCUCAUAAACCUGAAAAUUCACAAUAUUUAGUUUUGAUAUUGUUUAAAUUUAGUUCUUUUCUCAUCUUGUGUUUCAAAAUAUUCAAAAGGACCAAUUUUUAUUUUGAGUCUUAAGUUUCUCUUUUGGUUUUGAGUUAGCUUAAGUUUAUGUGGAUUGACGUUUGAUUCUAAAUUGCUUUCUAGUUAUUAGCUUUCUAGUAACAUAGGGUUGAAAUUUUAUGAUUCGCUUUAGAGUUAGUUGAUGUUGGAAAGGUUAUUUGUGUGCAGAAAUCUAUGAAGCACAGACACAGCUGGUGUCUGAGACACUUAUAAUUACAUUGAAUUGUGUCAUUUUGACAAAUUGUUAUCGGUUUUGACGUGUCAGUGUCGGUGUCGUGUCUGGUGUCUGUGUUUGUGCUUCAUAGGUACUCCCUCCGGUCACAAAUAUUAGCAAAAAAACUGUUUACCCGGUGUUUAAGAAAUUUAGUUAAGUGUGAUUAAUUUUCUUGGUUUAAUGCAAAACAUGAGUUAAGUGUACUAUAUUACCCCUUUUGAAAAGUGUAAAAGUGAAAUAAAUACCUAAAAAGAAUAGAAUUAAAUAAGGGUAUAUUAGGAAUAGUAGUAUUAAUUAGUUUAGAAGUAGUUAACUUUGGCUUAUAAUAGUGACCAAAAUUUGAAGUUUUUCUUUGCUUAUAAAUUUGAAGUUUUUUUUUUGGCAUUUCUUGUAGUGUAAUUUAGUGUUUGAUUUAAUAUUUGGCAACUUAUAUGAAGUUAAGUGUAAGUUAGUGUUUUUACGAUCAAGUCUUAAUUGUAGGGUAGCGUUUCAAGGAAGUUUCAAUUAGUGUUAGUAAGAGGNNNNNNNUGGAAGUUGGAUUGGAAGGCUUGCUAGGUUUGUGAGAUGAUAUUGGAGGAGGAGGUGCUUGCAAAAUUUACUUCUUAAUUUCAUUGCAAAUGUUGUUAGCAUUUUUAACAUUAAUUCUUUGGUUAAUUUUGAUGUUAUUACCACUUUGUUUUCGCUUAAGUGCCAUACUUAGAUUCUCACACUCAAAAGUGCAAUAAAAAACCUUUUCAUCUUACCUAUACUAAUACACAUAUUACAUGAGUUUUUUUGUUUGCUGCACCGGAGAGAGUCGGGAUGCUGCGCUGUUUUGCGUUUUUCUCUUUUGUCUCAUGUCUGUACUGUUUUUUGGAUCUGUGAUUGUACCGUAGGGUUAUGUUUCCUCUGUUCUGUCAGCUGUGUUUGUUGCUGUGCGGUUUGUGUUUGUUUGCCUUGGUUUUUGGCUUUGUUUUAGUUUUAGGGGUCUGUUAUGGAUCUCUUGUUCCCUUGUUUUAAUGCCUCCUUUAUCUUUGUUUGUACUACUUGUACUCACUUUGAUUAAUAAAUUUUGCCUUUUCCAAAAAAAAAAGAGUUUUUUUGUUGUGAAAAUUUUGUGGUUGCCAUCGCAACAUUGAAUCAUACUUGCCUCCGCCUAUGACAUAACAUUGCACAUAAAUUGAUUCAUUGUAAUGGAUUAAUGAGUAAUUGCUGUGUAUUUUUGUGUUUGCUUUAAUAUUUGCAAACUUAUGAAGCUUAAGUUUAUGAAACUUGUGGCUAAUAUCCAUGAAAAAAAAAACAGGAUAUGGGUUCUAAUGUUACCGACUAUCUGGUUGAUUGUAAGUGGUCAACGAAGCUAGAUACAAAACUUGUGAGGGUGAUGAUAACAGCAAGGAAACAUAAAGGCAACUUCAAAGGUUAAGCAUGGUCAGAUAAAAGGUUGUGGCAACUUGCUGUCAAGAAAAUAAAUUUCUUCAUCAACAACGACCAAAAUUGCAGACACUUGGAACGUAAAGGCAUCGAAUGUCUAAAGUCGAUCUAGACUUCAAAAACUUAGAAAGGCUUAUAAUAUGUACCAGUAGAAAGGCUUAAAAAAUUAAUUGGACAUUGCGGAUUAAGCUCGCAAAACUGUUUACUUGUGAAGACGACAAUGGCCCGUUGGUUAUCCCUAAAACUUUCAACAAUUCUCUGCUAGGGUCAUCUCAUUCCUCUUAUGUUGUCGACACUUUUCUACAAAAUCUGCGAUCCAUCAAGAAUAACAUAUCAACUAAACAAUAUAACUUUUGCCAUUCAAGACUUCAAGACAAGCCAGCUUAUGAUGAAUCUAUUCAACCAAAUGACUCCUCAAGAAAGAAUAUCCUACGUGGAAGUGGAAUGUAUCUUUUAGCCUUGGUGAUGUUAUUAUUUAGUUAUAGUUUUGAUCUGCAUCUUUACUUAUAGCUUAAAAGUAUUAGAUUAAGGGUUAAUCUAAUCUAAUCUUUUUAGUUUUGUGUAACAUUGAGGGUUAUUUUAUUUUGUUGGCCUGCUCUUGGUGUGUGUAUCUAUGUGCUUUAUUGUUGUUAUAUAUUGUGGAGCUUUAAGCUAGUGUGUUUUAGUCACAUAGGUGCUGUUCCACAGGUUUUGUAAUGAAUUAAUUAAGCACUUUAUUGUAUCUUAGUCCAACUUUCAAGCAAGUGUAGUGUGAGAUCUCUGCAAC
rnacentral:lncRNA from 1 species